rnacentral:rRNA from 1 species
CCUACCCCUUGACAUGUCCAGGAGCCUAGAGAGAUUUGGGUGUGCCCGAAANGGGAACUGGAACACAGGUGCUGCAUGGCUGUCGUCAGCUCGUGUCGUGAGAUGUUGGGUUAAGUCCCGCAACGAGCGCAACCCUUGUCGUUAAUUGCCAUCAUUUGGUUGGGCACUUUAACGAGACUGCCGGUGACAAACCGGAGGAAGGUGGGGAUGACGUCAAGUCCUCAUGGCCCUUAUGGGUAGGGCUUCACACGUCAUACAAUGGUCGGUACAAAGGGUUGCCAAGCCGCGAGGUGGAGCUAAUCCCAGAAAGCCGAUCGUAGUCCGGAUUGCAGGCUGCAACUCGCCUGCAUGAAGUCGGAAUCGCUAGUAAUCGUGGAUCAGCAUGUCACGGUGAAUACGUUCCCGGGUCUUGUACACACCGCCCGUCACACCAUGGGAGUGGGGUCUACCAGAAGUAGGUAGCUUAACCGCAAGGAGGGCGCUUACCACGGUGAGCUUCAUGACUGGGGUGAAGUCGUAACAAGGUAGCCGUAUCGGAAGGUGCGGCUGGAUCACCUCC